rnacentral:rRNA from 1 species
ACACUGGUACUGAAACACGGACCAGAUACCUACGGGUAGCAGCAGCAAGGAAUAUUGCCCAAUGGACGAAAGUCUGAGGCAGCAACACCGCGUGGAGGACGAAGGCCUUCGGGUUGUAAACUCUUUUUCUGGGGGAAGAGAAUGGACGGUACCACAGGAAUAAGGCCCGGCUAACUACGUGCCAGCAGCCGCGGUAAAACGUAGGGGUCGAGCGUUAUCCGGAUUUACUGGGCGUAAAGAGCAUGUAGGCGGUUGCUUAAGUCGGACGUGAAAGCUCCUGGCUCAACUAGGAGAGGCCGUUCGAAACUAAGUAACUCGAGGAUGUGUAGAGGAUAGUGGAAUUCCAGGUGUAGUGGUGAAAUGCGUAGAUAUCUGGAGGAACACCAGUGGCGAAGGCGGCUAUCUGGGCCAUUCCUGACGCUGAGAUGCGAAAGCUAGGGGAGAGAACGGGAUUAGAAACCCCGGUAUUCCUAGCCGUAAACGAUGUCAACUAGGUGUAGGAGGUAUUGACCCCUUCUGUGCUGCAGCAAACGCGUUAAGUUGACCGCCUGGGGACUACGGCCGCAAGGCUAAAACUCAAAGGAAUUGACGGGGACCCGCACAAGCAGCGGAGCGUGUGGUUUAAUUCGAGACUACGCGAAGAACCUUACCAGGGUUUGACAUGGCGGUAGUAGGGAUCCGAAAGGUGACCGACCCUUCGGGGAGCCGUCACAGGUGCUGCAUGGCUGUCGUCAGCUCGUGCCGUGAGGUGUUAGGUUAAGUCCUGUAACAAGCGCAACCCACGUCGUUAGUUAUACGUGUCUAACGAGACUGCCGGUGAUAAGCCGGAGGAAGGUGUGGAUGACGUCAAGUCAGCAUGGCCUUUAUAUCCUGGGCUACGCACACGCUACAAUGGCCGGUACAAUGGGCAGCGAAACCGCGAGGUGGAGCCAAUCCUCUAAAGCCGGUCUCAGUUCGGAUUGUAGGCUGCAACUCGCCUGCAUGAAGUCGGAGUUGCUAGUAAACGCGCGUCAGCAACAGUGCGUUGAAUACGUUCCCGGGUCUUGUACACACCGCCCGUCACGUCAUGGAAGUUGGCAACGCCUGAAGUCGGUGGGCUAACCCUAACGGGAGGCAGCCGCCCAAGGCGGGGUCGGUAACUGGGACGAAGUCGUAACAAGGUAGCUGUAGCGGAAGCUGCGGCUGG